rnacentral:tRNA from 1 species
GGCCCCUUCGUCUAGUGGUUAGGACUCCAGGUUUUCAUCCUGGCAACAGCAGUUCGAUUCUGCUAGGGGCUA